AAUUUUCAGCGAUGGAUGUCUUGGCUCGCGCAACGAUGAAGGACGCAGUGAAAUGCGAAACGCAAUGUGAAUUGCA
rnacentral:rRNA from 1 species